GUAUAAAAAGCGAAAAAAUUGCAAAUGGUUUCGGCCCAUUAGAUAGAGGUGGAAGUCCUUUUUUACAUU
rnacentral:tRNA from 1 species